CCUACGGGGGGCAGCAGUAGGGAAUCUUCCACAAUGGGCGAAAGCCUGAUGGAGUAACGCCGCGUGGGUGAAGAAGGUCUUCGGAUCGUAAAACUCUGUUGUUAGAGAAGAAAGUGCGUGAGAGUAACUGUUCACGUUUCGACGGUAUCUAACCAGAAAGCCACGGCUAACUACGUGCCAGCAGCCGCGGUAAUACGUAGGUGGCAAGCGUUAUCCGGAUUUAUUGGGCGUAAAGGGAACGCAGGCGGUCUUUUAAGUCUGAUGUGAAAGCCUUCGGCUUAACCGGAGUAGUGCAUUGGAAACUGGGAGACUUGAGUGCAGAAGAGGAAAGUGGAACUCCGUGUGUAGCGGUGAAAUGCGUAGAUAUAUGGAAGAACACCAGUGGCGAAAGCGGCUCUCUGGUCUGUAACUGACGCUGAGGUUCGAAAGCGUGGGUAGCAAACAGGAUUAGAUACCCCAGUAGUC
rnacentral:rRNA from 1 species